rnacentral:rRNA from 1 species
GAUGAACGCUAGCGGCAGGCCUAACACAUGCAAGUCGAGGGGUAGAACACUUCGGUGUUUGAGACCGGCGCACGGGUGCGUAACGCGUAUGCAAUCUACCUUGUACAGGGGAAUAGCCCAGAGAAAUUUGGAUUAAUGCCCCAUAGUAUAUAACCUUCGCAUGUUGGUUAUAUUAAAGUUCCAACGGUACAAGAUGAGCAUGCGUCCCAUUAGUUAGUUGGUAAGGUAACGGCUUACCAAGACGAUGAUGGGUAGGGGUCCUGAGAGGGGGAUCCCCCCCACUGGUACUGAGAAACGGACCAGACUCCUACGGGAGGCAGCAGUGAGGAAUAUUGGUCAAUGGGCGCAAGCCUGAACCAGCCCUGCCGCGUGCAGGAAGACGGUCCUAUGGAUUGUAAACUGCUUUUAUACAGGAAGAAACCCUCCCACGUGUGGGAGAUUGACGGUACUGUAGGAAUAAGGAUCGGCUAACUCCGUGCCAGCCGCCGCCGUAACAC